GUAUUCCUAGACGUAGCUUUUAUAUUUGAGAUUUUUGGCAAGGCUUGUAUAAAAAAGUCCCUCUACAACAGACCUGUUUUGAAGCAUCGCUGCAAGCAGCAGGUUAGUGGUUGAAGAUAGGCAGUAUAUCCACCUACCAGUGGAUGUAUUUUGUUUUUGUUUUUUGGUUUUUGGCUCCCAGGUGAUCUUAAUGAAGGUGGCAUGAUGAUGCCCACCUGAGGCCAGGCUGCCCUGCUGGAAGCUGUUAAUCUACCCAGAUGCAGAAGUUCCUUGUAAUGGACUCCUCCUCCCUAACACCACUGACCUGAGCUCUGCCAUCAUUCAGCUUUACGGAACUGGAGGUGAAACCGAACUGCUGGCAAUUUGUGUCUGUGACAUUGCGGUGUCUGGGACUCUGUGCAGGUCUCCUCACCCAUAGGGAAGGGGCAGGAGAAGGCCACAGAAGAGACGGGGGAUGGAGCAGUGGCUGUGUGAAGAGGCACUAAGCAGUGAGCAAAGCAGCUGUCGGAGGGGAGCACGUUUCCCUAAAAUGGAGAAAGCUGGGCCAGGAAUGACUUCAUAGUAGUUCCUGUAGCUCACGAACAUGGAGGCCUGCCUUAAGGACCAGGAGGAAGAGAUGCAAGGAGGUAUUUGGGAAGUAUCCCAGGUGUAGACGAUGUGCUUAUUUGAAGAAGGAAUAUGUGCAUGUGAAGAGGACUUUUAGAUCUUUUGGCCUUCGCUGCUGCAGCCAGCUGCUCUUUCCAAUGGAUUUGAAUAAAUCUUUGUUUUCUUAGCUUCAAGCCUAAUUUGAAAAAAAAAUUAAAAAAAAUACUUACUGUUUUCCUAACAAGAAGGUUCCUUAUGUUCUUCAAUCAAUCAUUUCUUGCAGUGUAUCAGGAGACUUGAGGGGUAGCCCUGCACAACCUGGAAUGCUAGUGU
rnacentral:lncRNA from 1 species